rnacentral:rRNA from 1 species
GCCUUGCGUUAUUCGAUCAGCCGACAUUGAUAGCUAGUGUAGGUAAGCUCAGCACGAUCAGUAGCAGUCGAGAAGAUGAUCGUCCACACGGAACUGAGACACGACCAGACUUCUACGGAGGCAGCAGUAGGGAGUAUGUCAUGGCGCAGCAUGAUCAGCCAUCCCGCGGUCGAGAAGACGUUCGGUGUAAAGACUUUGUCAGCGAAGAAAAGGCUGUGCUAAUAUCGACAGCUGAUGACGGUACCUGAAGAAUAAGCACCGGCUAACUACGUCCAGCAGCCGCGGUAAUACGUAGGGUGCGAGCGUUAAUCGGAAUUACUGGGCGUAAAGCGAGCGCAGACGGUUACUUAAGCAGGAUGUGAAAUCCCCGGGCUUAACCUGGGAACUGCGUUCUGAACUGGGUGACUAGAGUGUGUCAGAGGGAGGUAGAAUUCCACGUGUAGCAGUGAAAUGCGUAGAGAUGUGGAGGAAUACCGAUGGCGAAGGCAGCCUCCUGGGAUAACACUGACGUUCAUGCUCGAAAGCGUGGGUAGCAAACAGGAUUAGAUACCCUGGUAGUCCACGCCCUAAACGAUGUCAAUUAGCUGUUGGGCAACUUGAUUGCUUAGUAGCGUAGCUAACGCGUGAAAUUGACCGCCUGGGGAGUACGGUCGCAAGAUUAAAACUCAAAGGAAUUGACGGGGACCCGCACAAGCGGUGGAUGAUGUGGAUUAAUUCGAUGCAACGCGAAGAACCUUACCUGGUCUUGACAUGUACGGAAUCCUCCAGAGACGGAGGAGUGCCUUCGGGAGCCGUAACACAGGUGCUGCAUGGCUGUCGUCAGCUCGUGUCGUGAGAUGUUGGGUUAAGUCCCGCAACGAGCGCAACCCUUGUCAUUAGUUGCCAUCAUUUAGUUGGGCACUCUAAUGAGACUGCCGGUGACAAGCCGGAGGAAGGUGGGGAUGACGUCAAGUCCUCAUGGCCCUUAUGACCAGGGCUUCACACGUCAUACAAUGGUCGGUACAGAGGGUAGCCAACCCGCGAGGUGGAGCCAAUCUCACAAAACCGAUCGUAGUCCGGAUUGCACUCUGCAACUCGAGUGCAUGAAGUCGGAAUCGUUAGUAAUCGCAGGUCAGCAUACUGCGGUGAAUACGUUCCCGGGUCUUGUACACACCGCCCGUCACACCAUGGGAGUGGGGGAUACCAGAAGUAGGUAGGGUAACCGCAAGGAGCCCGCUUACCACCGUAGUUUGCAAACGG